rnacentral:rRNA from 1 species
CGGGCCUCUUGCCAUCGGAUGUGCCCAGAUGGGAUUAGCUAGUAGGUGGGGUAACGGCUCACCUAGGCGACGAUCCCUAGCUGGUCUGAGAGGAUGACCAGCCACACUGGGGCUGAGACACGGUCCAGACUCCUACGGGAGGCAGCAGUGGGGAAUAUUGCACAAUGGGCGCAAGCCUGAUGCAGCCAUGCCGCGUGUAUGAAGAAGGCCUUCGGGUUGUAAAGUACUUUCAGCGGGGAGGAAGGGAGUAAAGUUAAUACCUUUGCUCAUUGACGUUACCCGCAGAAGAAGCACCGGCUAACUCCGUGCCAGCAGCCGCGGUAAUACGGAGGGUGCAGGCGUUAAUCGGAAUUACUGGGCGUAAAGCGCACGCAGGCGGUUUGUUAAGUCAGAUGUGAAAUCCCCGGGCUCAACCUGGGAACUGCAUCUGAUACUGGCAAGCUUGAGUCUCGUAGAGGGGGGUAGAAUUCCAGGUGUAGCGGUGAAAUGCGUAGAGAUCUGGAGGAAUACCGGUGGCGAAGGCGGCCCCCUGGACGAAGACUGACGCUCAGGUGCGAAAGCGUGGGGAGCAAACAGGAUUAGAUACUCUGGUAGUCCACGCCGUAAACGAUGUCGACUUGGAGGUUGUGCCCUUGAGGCGUGGCUUCCGGAGCUAACGCGUUAAGUCGACCGCCUGGGGAGUACGGCCGCAAGGUUAAAACUCAAAUGAAUUGACGGGGGCCCGCACAAGCGGUGGAGCAUGUGGUUUAAUUCGAUGCAACGCGAAGAACCUUACCUGGUCUUGACAUCCACAGAACUUUCCAGAGAUGGAUUGGUGCCUUCGGGAACUGUGAGACAGGUGCUGCAUGGCUGUCGUCAGCUCGUGUUGUGAAAUGUUGGGUUAAGUCCCGCAACGAGCGCAACCCUUAUCUUUUGUUGCCAGCGGUCCGGCCGGGAACUCAAAGGAGACUGCCAGUGAUAAACUGGAGGAAGGUGGGGAUGACGUCAAGUCAUCAUGGCCCUUACGACCAGGGCUACACACGUGCUACAAUGGCGCAUACAAAGAGAAGCGACCUCGCGAGAGCAAGCGGACCUCAUAAAGUGCGUCGUAGUCCGGAUUGGAGUCUGCAACUCGACUCCAUGAAGUCGGAAUCGCUAGUAACCGUGGAUCAGAAUGCCACGGUGAAUACGUUCCCGGGCCUUGUACACACCGCCCGUCACACCAUGGGAGUGGGUUGCAAAAGAAGUAAGUAGCUUAACCUUCGGGGGGGCGCUUACCACUUUGUGAUUCAUGACUGGGGUGAAGUCGGAACAAGGUA